UUGGUUCUUUGAAAUGAGAUUUUCCCUAAAUAACAAGGGGAGAGAGAGAGAGAGAGAGAGUCAAGCACGCAAAUCAAGAAAGAGGAAACAAGGGAGAGCUGGAUGCGGGCCGUGUUAAUAAAUGGUUGUUGAAGAAAGACUCAGUAACAUUAAAUAAUAACCUAUUGUGUGUGGUAAGAGGGAAGUUGCUUCACACUUGUUCUUGGCGGCCAUGAGAGAGAGAGAGAGACAGAUAGAGAGAGAAAGUAGAGAGAGAGAGUAACACAACACUAAAUGAAUGGACUGUGGGGAGAUGUGAGCUGACCUUUGCUGUUUGUAUUGUUACUUUGUGGGCUGUAUAAAUUAGUUGAAUUAUUUAUUUUUUUAUUUUUUGACCUUGCCCCAUGUUUUUGUUGUCUCAAGAAUAAUUUAUAUGUACAAUGAAAAAAGACAUACAAAAGUUUUAGUACAAUACAUAAUGUACUUUUUCG
rnacentral:lncRNA from 1 species